rnacentral:rRNA from 1 species
CGUCUCAGUUCGGACUGUGGUCUGCAACCCGACCACACGAAGCUGGAAUCGCUAGUAAUCGCGAAUCAGAAUGUCGCGGUGAAUACGCUCCCGGGUCUUGUACACACCGCCCGUCACACCAUGGGAGUCAGCAACGCCCGAAGUCAGUGACCUAACCGAAAGGGAGGAGCUGCCGAAGGCGGGGCCGGUAACUGGGGUGAAGUCGUAACAAGGUAAC